CGGACGGGUGAGUAAUGCCUAGGAAUCUGCCUGGUAGUGGGGGAUAACGCUCGGAAACGGACGCUAAUACCGCAUACGUCCUACGGGAGAAAGCAGGGGACCUUCGGGCCUUGCGCUAUCAGAUGAGCCUAGGUCGGAUUAGCUAGUUGGUAAGGUAACGGCUUACCAAGGCAACGAUGGGUAGGGGUCCUGAGAGGGAGAUCCCCCACACUGGUACUGAGACACGGACCAGACUCCUACGGGAGGCAGCAGUGAGGAAUAUUGGACAAUGGGCGCAAGCCUGAUCCAGCCAUGCCGCGUGCAGGAUGACGGUCCUAUGGAUUGUAAACUGCUUUUAUACAGGAAGAAACACUACUUCGUGAAGUAGCUUGACGGUACUGUAAGAAUAAGGAUCGGCUAACUCCGUG
rnacentral:rRNA from 1 species